UACGAAGGGGGCUAGCGUUGCUCGGAAUCACUGGGCGUAAAGGGUGCGUAGGCGGGUCUUUAAGUCAGGGGUGAAAUCCUGGAGCUCAACUCCAGAACUGCCUUUGAUACUGAAGAUCUUGAGUUCGGGAGAGGUGAGUGGAACUGCGAGUGUAGAGGUGAAAUUCGUAGAUAUUCGCAAGAACACCGGUGGCGAAGGCGGGUCUCUGGGCCGAUACUGACGCUGAGGAGCGAAAGCAUGGGUAGCGAACAGG
rnacentral:rRNA from 1 species